rnacentral:lncRNA from 1 species
GGAGUGUCCGCGAUGGGGGAGGCGGGAGCGGGACGUCUUUCCUCUCUAUUGUCUGCGGACCUACUCUUUGUCUUCUACUGUGAAUCGGAAGUAGUUUGUGGGAAAUCUCUCGGCCAAUGAGACUAUUCUUCCGCCCCUCUCCCUCCUUCCCUAGCUGAGACUCAAGGUCACGCAGAUGGUAACUGGCUCUGAGGGAUGCUGGAGUGGUUUGCCAUUUCCUUCUCCAGCAAGUUUUACAGAUGAAGAUACUGAGCUAAACCAGCAUUGUUCAUUUUAUCUCCUGUGCUUCUUUUUGUGUCAUUUGAAGUCUUUUUGGCCAAAUGAUUCCUGUUUCCAUUACUCUUCUGAAUGAUUUGUAUUUGACAAAUACCCACCUUUCAACUAAACUAAAUCAUCUCAGCAAUAUUGAAGAAUCAAAAUGGAAGGAAUCUACAAAGAGAAGAAAAAUGGAAAAGAUUUUCAAUAAGCAUUUUAAUAAACUAUUUUCUCCAUCAAACAAUGACACUCUCCUUCCUCCUAUGCUCAUUCCCUAAUACCAUUGGCUUGAAUGUGCUUACAGAGAUGCCAUUAACGAAAACAAACUCAGAAAAUGCAUUCAGAUUUGAUAAAGUAUAGAAAGGAGAUUCUGCUGGAGGUGACAUAAUUCUCUCUGACAGGGGACCUACAUAGAUACAAGAUAUUUGAAGUAGGGGAAGAUACUAAUUUUCACUACCUUUUUCCUUCCUUUAGAGGAUAACCUUUUGCAUAAAGAAUUUCUUGAUCCCCACAGCUGCUAUUAUAUCUCUCAAGUUGCACUUAUAUAUUUACUUACUUUUCUUUUUUUAAAUAAUAGCUUUUUAUUUUCAAAAUAUAUGCAAAGAUAGUUUUCAACA